UUUCAUACUGUUUAAUCUCAUUUAGUGUUUUCUUUUUUUCUGUAGGGCAUUUAUGGUUGACAAAGACUUUGCGGAAAUAAAUGCUUUGCAGAAGGUUUUUCCAGAGUCAGCUAUCCUUCUAUGCUGGUACCAUGUCUUGCAGGCUGUUAAUCGAUGGCUUUCAAAAUCUGAGUCUGGGGUCCAUGGGCUUUCUAACACCCAAAAGAGAAAUGAAAUCAUUUCUUUCUUUUGUAAGCUGAAAGCUUGCACAUCUGAGGAAGACUUUAAAGCCACAUCAGCAGAGUUUUGCCAGACAUUUAAGCAAUACCCUUUGGUGUGCCAGUAUUUUCAGAAGCACUGGGAAGGCA